CUAAAUUUCAGGCCAUUGCACCAUGGGUGUGAGCAUAUGGGACAGGCCAGGUGAAACCCAGUGGCCUGGCAUUGAGUCCAAAGACUGUUGAGAGUAGAGGAACACACGUCAAAAAAACACUGGGAGUGCUGGCACCAACAGCACCGCAGAAUGUGCAUCAGACAGACACCCAGCACUCGUUAGCUUAUUACUCUCUUAUUAGGAACUUUUUUUUUUUUUUUUUUUUUGCCUCGCAUGGCUUGGCAGAGUCCUGCUAGCCACUCUCUUUACAUGGCCCUGGCUCUGUCGGAGUUGAUCAAAAGACAUUUCCUCACAUCUCCAGACGCCCAGAGAGAAAAGAAGAAAAGCAGAGGGAGAAGAAAAGCACCAGAAGGGGGCACACUGCUCUCUCUCUUUACUGUUUGGGUGAAUGAGGACUUUUCACAGUGCCCUCUCUCUUUCUUUUCUCACUCAUUUUCCUUUUUAACGUUUGGAAAGAACUGCAAACACAUAUAUAUAUUUAUAUUUCAGCCAUGUUUUUUUUUUUGUUUUUUUUCCUCGCCACAGCAACAGCAAUUAUCCGCAGGUGAAAUAUGUGCACCCAGAAUUAGGAUUAUUCCUGGAGGCCUGGGAGAGAAUGAGGGGUCUUCUUAAAUCUGCCCUGGUCUCCAAGCUGCUGAGACCCCCUAGAAGUGGUAAUGAAAAGUGUAACUUUAGCCUCCCAGCUGUACGUCUCAAUCCAUAAUCCUUCCCCAAAAACCUCACCAUAGAGCCGCCUGCCACUCCCAUGGCGUGCCCAGCCUACACCUCACCGGGCCUUCACGAUUUAUGUAGCACUCCGGAUUCAUACUCUCAACCCCGUAAAAAAAAAGGAUUUGCUCUCUCUUAUAUGACCCGGGGUGGUCAGGGGAGCACGGUGGAAACACAAAAAAGCCCAGUGUCGGGGCCUCACUCCCCAGAUAUGAUUUCUCCUUCAACACGGGGCCAUACCUUGGGAUACUUUAGGAGACCAGGCCGGCGUCCGAGCAACCGGAGAGGUUGGGUGGUGGCAGAUCAGCGUGUGGAAGCCAUUCAGAGGUCAGAGACCAUACGCCAAAACUCCACCAGAGCCACAUGGCCCAGGUUUUGGUAUGCAGAUACGCAGCCCAGUAAUGAAGCAGCCCAGGCCUGUUCAACGGUGCAGCCCGCAGAGAGCCGCUCGAGGGGGAGAGCGUUCAGAGCGCCUGCACGCGCGGCGGCCUAAUGAGGAAACAAUCAGCUGCCAGCGGGUCAUCACUCUCCGGUCUCGAGCCAUACACACACGAGCCACGAUUCACUGCGCACAUUCGUUGUAAGGUGUAUGCAUUUUAUUAGCAGAUAGUUAAACCUUGAGAGCCAAAACCUUUUGAAAAUAAUUUCAAUUUUUUGCAAAGUAACGUCAAUUCUGAGUCUAUUUUUUUUAAAUUAUAAUUCGAGCUAAUUAUAAUCAACAUUGAAUUAGUGUUUUAUUGACUGAAACAAUGCAUCAUAAUUGAAAUAAUUAAACCUUGGAAUUCGUUCCGAAAUACAGACACCAUGCAGGCAAAAUUUCGUUAGGCGUAUAUUGUGAAAAAGGUGCAAUCAAAUAUUAGCCGAUAAUUGUACCACAUUGUAAUGGUUUCAAAAGGGCUACGAUAGGCCAAUAAAAAAGUGCUUAUUCAUUAUUGAGGAUUGAUGCGGUCAACUGAGCAAAACUGCCCUAAAACAAAUAUUGCAUUUGUUGUGAAGUUGUUCUACAGAAUGACAGUGUAACCAUAUUAUUUAUAUGGCUUUGCUGCAUUUGAUCCACUGGUGGGUAUGCGUUGCAAACAGGCCUCCUCCGUACGGCAUAGGUGCGCCAAGAUAAGCAGCCCGCGCUUUUCCCGCAUAUUUGAGCAAAUUUCAAACACUUUAAGUGCAAAAAUAUUUUUCAGUCUUAUCUAAAAGGUAUCCGUAACAAGGCAUUUAAUUCAACAAGUGUAAGGUAUCCUAAACUUUGAGCCUGUAUCGGAUGACACCUGGGCCCUAUGUGUUUAGGCCUAUCUGAAUUACUUUAAAUCCUUGUCACUAGAAUACCGGACUUUGUGUCUUCACAUGGAUACUGUUUCAUACAUUCUCCUACCCUUAUCUCCCUACCAUAUUUAGGGAAGUGUUGUAUCUUCAAUCCACACUCAAUGCGUACAUUGCUUAAGUUCGAAUGCAAGUCAGUUAUUUUGGAUUUUAAAUGUAUAUUUUCUGUCAAAUAUUUCAUCAAUUGCAAACGAGAAAGGUUCGAUUUCGUUCAUCUAAGGGACGAAAAGUAGCUUAGUAGUGAGCCAAGCAGACAUUGUCGUAUGAGGCAAAAAGCCCCAACUCAAAGCAUCAUCACAUUUAUCGAAUGACAUUUUCCCGACACAAACCUUUUUUUUUUUCCAUUCUCAUGUUUUUCUGAAUCAAACAGUGACAGCAGUUUAACACCCCCCCCCCCCCGCCAUCUCUCUCUCUCUCUCUCUCUCUCUCUCUCUCUCUCUCUCUCUCUCUCUCUCUCUCUCUCUCUCUCUCUCUCUCUCUCUCUCUCUCUCUCUCUCUCUCUCUCUCUCUCUCUCUCUCCCCUCCUCCCUCCUCCUCCUCCCCCCCCUCCUCCUCUUUCCCUAUCUCCUCCUCUCUCCUCACUCUUCUGCAGCCCGUGCUCUCUGCACGUGUCUUGGAGUUUGAAAGCGUUAGAUUAGAUUAUCGAUUUAACUGGCUUAAUAACAUGAACAGCAAAUAUUGCCGAAUUAAUGCCCGUGAGUCCGAAUUACUAAUUGCACAGCACGAAUUACAAAACUAGGCUGUAAGAACGAGAUGAUGACUCAUUUAAACUUGAAUUGUACAAUUACUUUGUUGCCUAGACGAAAACAAUAAUAAUAAUUAGAUUUAGUUGGGAUCAAAAAAAUUAUAAAAAUGCAUUUUUUUUUUCUGUUUGGAAUAUAUCAUAUACAGUUUUCGUGUCCAUAUGACAUUGUCUCAAAGGUUCCCGUUGCACUGGCAACACUUUAAUCGAAUGGUUUACAAUACAAUGCAGACACAGGUCUAUUGUUUUCACUUCAUGGCAAAAGGCACAAGCUACUGCUGUUUCCACUCAGAGUUUAUUCAACAAUCAGCUACAAUAAAAUUAACACUCUCUAAUGGUUAUUAUACUAGCCUAUGUGAGCAUUUAGUAGCGUUUAUAGGUUUACAUUAUUUUUCACAUAUAUAGGGUUAUUUAAGAAUUAUGUCUGCAGUCUGCUAGACCUUUUAAAGGGAACUAUACAAACAUUACACUAUUUAGACAAAUGUUAUGAAGGUGAAUAAUGCUUUGAUUAGUUCCUGUGGAACCUUGUGGUAACUUUAAUGUUUGUUUUUAAAACAUGCAUCGAAUCAGUAUUUAUUUAAUUGUACAUGUUAAUGUAAAAAAACAAACAUUAAUGUGUUAAUGUAUGAUGUAUAUGUAUUAAAUAAAGUCAAAUGCUUUUACUUAAAAAUAUAUCAUAAGUAGCAAUAUUUUAACCAGCAUGACAAUGAUAUAAAGAAAGAUAAUUAAGUAAUGUUAACUGGAUGUAUAUACAUAAAUCUGCAUUCAAAGAACAUAAAAGCACAUCCCAAUGUGGUCGGUGUCAUCAUCAAAAAGUAAACUGUUACGUUAAGAUUAGCAUAUUUCCAGGUUCAUAGCAUCAUCAACAU